GCCUCAUCCUCUCACCAAAGUGACAUGUGAGUGAUCCUGGUGGGGAGAAGAGUAUUGGAAUAUUGCGGAGCGUCCGAGGCCGUGCAGCAGCAUGAGUGGAGAGCUGAGGAAGCAAAAGCCAGAACAUGAGACCCAGCCUGAGGGACCCUGGAGAGCUUCCUGGAAGAGGCAACAUCAUGCUGAGAAGGGCAGGCCCAGCAGCAGCUUGCCAGUGUCAGGAGGGAUAUGAUGCUCCAGGCAAAGACAGCUCAUGUGCAAAGCUAAUGGAACCAGAGUGCAGAGCAAAGUGGAAGCCACGUGAAAUUGAUGAGCAGGCAGAUCUGGACAGAAGCUUGUGUGUCCAGCCCAGUCCCAGCUUGUUAAGGACAUACAUCACCACGACCUCUGUUAUUCCACAGAGAUUCUCACCUCGGGUUCAUCAGUGCUUUGUAGACAGUGGACAGUGACCCAAGUGGAAAAAGAAACAUCUCUUCUGACUCUUUGAGCUGAUUCCCCACUUAGGGGUAAGAAGGUAAAAUACCUGAGAUGUUACAACAAGUGAAGCUGAGGCCAGCCAGGCAAGCAGGAGGCUGAGGCUGAAAGCCCAGCCUUCAUGAAGGCUGCUUUGGAGGAGCAAAGAGCAAGCGUGUCUGUUGGUCCCACAGAGCAGAGGUCCCCAAAGGCCCUGCCAGUGAGGCGAGCAGAGAACAGGUGGGGUGGAGCUCCAGUCUUAGUUGGCUACAAGUGCCAAAGAACUAGAGACCCUGGUCAGGAAAACCGCAUAUCAGAGCACUGACUUCCCCUUCUCCUGUGCCUCCACAGCCUAAGACUGUGUAAAAGAACUCUGAAUAAAUUGCAGAUAGGAGGCA
rnacentral:lncRNA from 13 species